CACCGCGGUUAGACGAGAGGCCCAAGUUGACAGACAACGGCGUAAAGAGUGGUUAAGGGCUGCAACAAACUAAAGCUGAAUGCUCUCCGGGCUGUCAUACGUACCCGAGAGUUCGAAACCCAACUACGAAAGUGGCUUUAUUAAACCCGACCCCACGAAAGCUAAGACA
rnacentral:rRNA from 1 species